CGGCAAACGGGGUAGUCAUACACAGGUUACGUACCCUCAGGUCCGGGAUAGCCACGGGAAACUGUGAGUAAUACCGAUGACCCCGCAGCUUGUUGAUCAACCGCGGGCAAAGGUGAGAUUCCGCCAGAGGAGCGGCUUGUGCGAUAUCAGCUAGCUGGUGAGGUAACGGCUCACCAGGGCUUAGACGUCCAGGGGGUGUGAGAGCAUGGCCCCCACCACCGGAACUGAGACACUGUCCGGACACCUACGGGUGGCUGCAGUCGAGAAUCUUUGGCAAUGCGCGAAAGCGUGACCAAGCGACGCCGCAUGCGGGAUGAAGGCCUUCGGGUUGUAAACCGCUGUCAGAGGGGAUGAAAUCAUUGGGGGUACUCCCCCUCUGUUGACAGAGCCUCAGAGGAAGCGCGGGCUAAGUUCGUGCCAGCAGCCGCGGUAACACGAACUGCGCAAACGUUAUUCGGAAUCACUGGGCUUAAAGGAUGCGUAGGCGGACGGUUAAGUAGGGAGUGAAAUCUGUCGGCUCAACCGGCAGACUGCGUUCUAAACUGGCAGUCUUGAGCGAGUCAGGGGUGUGCGGAACUUCCGGUGGAGCGGUGAAAUGUGUUGAUAUCGGAAGGAACGCCGGUGGCGAAAGCGGCACACUGGGGCUUGUCUGACGCUGAGGCACGAAAGCCAGGGGAGCGAACAGGAUUAGAUACCCUGGUAGUCCUGGCUGUAAACGAUGAAUACUGG
rnacentral:rRNA from 1 species